AUUGAACGCUGGCGGCAUGCCUUACACAUGCAAGUUGAACGGCAGCACGGAGCUUGCUCUGGUGGCGAGUGGCGAACGGGUGAGUAAUAUAUCGGAACGUACCCUAGAGUGGGGGAUAACGUAGCGAAAGUUACGCUAAUACCGCAUACGAUCUAAGGAUGAAAGUGGGGGAUCGCAAGACCUCAUGCUCGUGGAGCGGCCGAUAUCUGAUUAGCUAGUUGGCAGGGUAAAAGCCUACCAAGGCAUCGAUCAGUAGCUGGUCUGAGAGGACGACCAGCCACACUGGAACUGAGACACGGUCCAGACUCCUACGGGAGGCAGCAGUGGGGAAUUUUGGACAAUGGGCGAAAGCCUGAUCCAGCAAUGCCGCGUGAGUGAAGAAGGCCUUCGGGUUGUAAAGCUCUUUUGUCAGGGAAGAAACGGUGAGAGCUAAUAUCUCUUGCUAAUGACGGUACCUGAAGAAUAAGCACCGGCUAACUACGUGCCAGCAGCCGCGGUAAUACGUAGGGUGCAAGCGUUAAUCGGAAUUACUGGGCGUAAAGCGUGCGCAGGCGGUUUUGUAAGUCUGAUGUGAAAUCCCCGGGCUCAACCUGGGAAUUGCAUUGGAGACUGCAAGGCUAGAAUCUGGCAGAGGGGGGUAGAAUUCCACGUGUAGCAGUGAAAUGCGUAGAUAUGUGGAGGAACACCGAUGGCGAAGGCAGCCCCCUGGGUCAAGAUUGACGCUCAUGCACGAAAGCGUGGGGAGCAAACAGGAUUAGAUACCCUGGUAGUCCACGCCCUAAACGAUGUCUACUAGUUGUCGGGUCUUAAUUGACUUGGUAACGCAGCUAACGCGUGAAGUAGACCGCCUGGGGAGUACGGUCGCAAGAUUAAAACUCAAAGGAAUUGACGGGGACCCGCACAAGCGGUGGAUGAUGUGGAUUAAUUCGAUGCAACGCGAAAAACCUUACCUACCCUUGACAUGGCUGGAAUCCUUGAGAGAUCAGGGAGUGCUCGAAAGAGAACCAGUACACAGGUGCUGCAUGGCUGUCGUCAGCUCGUGUCGUGAGAUGUUGGGUUAAGUCCCGCAACGAGCGCAACCCUUGUCAUUAGUUGCUACGAAAGGGCACUCUAAUGAGACUGCCGGUGACAAACCGGAGGAAGGUGGGGAUAACGUCAAGUCCUCAUGGCCCUUAUGGGUAGGGCUUCACACGUCAUACAAUGGUACAUACAGAGCGCCGCCAACCCGCGAGGGGGAGCUAAUCGCAGAAAGUGUAUCGUAGUCCGGAUUGUAGUCUGCAACUCGACUGCAUGAAGUUGGAAUCGCUAGUAAUCGCGGAUCAGCAUGUCGCGGUGAAUACGUUCCCGGGUCU
rnacentral:rRNA from 1 species